rnacentral:rRNA from 1 species
AAUGAACGCUGGCGGCGCGCCUAAUACAUGCAAGUCGAGCGAGAAGACGUAGCAAUACGUUUGUAAAGCGGCGAACGGGUGAGGAAUACAUGGGUAACCUACCCUCGAGUGGGGAAUAACUAGCCGAAAGGUUAGCUAAUACCGCGUACGCUUCUUGGACUUCGGUUCAGGGAGGAAAGCGAUGCCGAGGGUAUCGCGCUCUUGGAUGGGCUCAUGUCCUAUCAGCUUGUUGGGAGGUAACGGCUCACCAAGGCUUCGACGGGUAGCUGGUCUGAGAGGACGAUCAGCCACACUGGCACUGCGACACGGGCCAGACUCCUACGGGAGCAGCAGUAAGGAAUAUUGCGC